rnacentral:lncRNA from 1 species
GGGUGCAUAAAAUACAAUAAUAAUUUCAAACAAAUAAUAAUUUAAUCCUAAACAUAUUUCAUCACAGCAUUAACAGUACAACCACAUCAUUCAUGAACAAAUUCAAUACAGAUCACAUGGUACCCCCUUCCCGCAUCACAUGGCCAAAGAGAAUAUUUUUUCCACAUCACACGGCCAAAGAGAAUCAUCACCAAACCAUCAUCUUCCCGCAUCACAUGAUCGAAGCGUGUCAUCACUACCAAACCAUUAUCUGCCUGCAUCACACAACCGAAGAGAAUUCCUUUUCGGCAUCACACGGCCGAAAGAGUCAUCAACACUUAAAUAUCUCCUUUUCCCUGCAUCACAAAACUGAAAAAAAAAAAAAAUUCCUUUGUCACACCGCGAAAACAGUUAUACUUAAAUAAUAUUGUCCAACCACCUUACUUACAAAUUAAUUCUCGUUGUAUUUAUUUCACGUCUAAUUUCAUUCAUAAGUAUUUUCUCACAAAACACAAGAUUCACUGUCAUCAUCAUAAUUAUUUAAUUC